rnacentral:rRNA from 1 species
CACACUGGGACUGAGACACUGCCCAGACUCCUACGGGAGGCUGCAGUCGAGAAUCUUUCGCAAUGGGGGAAACCCUGACGAAGCGACGCCGCGUGGAGGAUGAAGGCCCUCGGGUUGUAAACUCCUGUCACUUGGGAUGAAAAGUGGGGCCAUUAAUACCGGUUCUGCCUGACAGUACCUUGAAAGGAAGCUCCGGCUAACUACGUGCCAGCAGCCGCGGUAAUACGUAGGGAGCAAGCGUUGUUCGGAUUUACUGGGCGUAAAGGGUGUGUAGGUUGCUUGGUAAGUCAGUUGUGAAAUCCUUACUGCUCAACAGAAGAAUUGCAAUUGAUACUACCAGGCUAGAGUUCGGUAGAGGAGAGCGGAAUUCUCGGUGUAGCGGUGAAAUGCGUAGAUAUCGAGAAGAACACCAGUGGCGUAGGCGGCUCUCUAGCCCGAUACUGACACUGAAACACGAAAGCGUGGGUAGCGAACGGGAUUAGAUACCCCGGUAGUCCACGCCGUAAACGAUGGGUACUAGGUGCAGGUGGUAUCGAUCCCUUCUGUGCCGAAGCAAACGCGUUAAGUACCCCGCCUGGGGAGUACGGCCGCAAGGCUAAAACUCAAAGGAAUAGACGGGGGCCCGCACAAGCGGUGGAGCAUGUGGUUUAAUACGACGCAACGCGUAGAACCUUACCAGGGCUUGACAUGCUGGUGGUACUGGCUCCGAAAGGAGACAGGACCCUUCGGGGAGCCAACACAGAUGUUGCACGGCUGUCGUCAGCUCGUGUCGUGAGAUGUUGGGUUAAGUCCCGCAACGAGCGCAACCCUUGUCCUUAGUUGCCAGCAGGUAAUGCUGGGGACUCUAAGGAGACUGCCUGUGAUAAGCAGGAGGAAGGUGAGGAUGACGUCAAGUCAUUGUGGCUCUUACGCCCUGGGCUACACACGUGCUACAAUGGUCGAUACAAUGGGUAGCAAUGCCGCGAGGUGGAGCCAAUCCCCAAAAGUCGGCCUCAGUUCGGAUUGGAGUCUGCAACUCGACUCCAUGAAGUCGGAAUCGCUAGUAAUGGCGCAUCAGCUACGGCGCCGUGAAUACGUUCCCGGGCCUUGUACUCACCGUCCGUCACAUCACCUGAGUUGAUUGCACCUGAAGUCACUGGUCUAACCUUCGGGAGGA